UCCGAUGUGGUAUAACGGUUAGCAUCGCUCGCUCUCAAAUCCUUCCAAUAAGACAACGAUCCGAGCAGAGCGGGGUUCGAUUCCCCGCAUCGGAG
rnacentral:tRNA from 1 species